rnacentral:rRNA from 1 species
CAUGCAGUCGAACGAUGAAGGAGAGCUUGCUCUUUGGAUUAGUGGCGAACGGGUGAGUAACACGUGAGCAAUCUGCCCUUGACUCUGGGAUAAGCGUUGGAAACGACGUCUAAUACCGGAUACGACCCUCGGAGGCAUCUCCUGGGGGUGGAAAGAAUUUUGGUCAAGGAUGAGCUCGCGGCCUAUCAGCUUGUUGGUGAGGUAAUGGCUCACCAAGGCGACGACGGGUAGCCGGCCUGAGAGGGUGACCGGCCACACUGGGACUGAGACACGGCCCAGACUCCUACGGGAGGCAGCAGUGGGGAAUAUUGCACAAUGGGCGAAAGCCUGAUGCAGCAACGCCGCGUGAGGGACGACGGCCUUCGGGUUGUAAACCUCUUUUAGUAGGGAAGAAGCGAAAGUGACGGUACCUGCAGAAAAAGCACCGGCUAACUACGUGCCAGCAGCCGCGGUAAUACGUAGGGUGCAAGCGUUGUCCGGAAUUAUUGGGCGUAAAGAGCUCGUAGGCGGUUUGUCGCGUCUGCUGUGAAAUCCCGAGGCUCAACCUCGGGUCUGCAGUGGGUACGGGCAGACUAGAGUGCGGUAGGGGAGAUUGGAAUUCCUGGUGUAGCGGUGGAAUGCGCAGAUAUCAGGAGGAACACCGAUGGCGAAGGCAGAUCUCUGGGCCGUAACUGACGCUGAGGAGCGAAAGCAUGGGGAGCGAACAGGAUUAGAUACCCUGGUAGUCCAUGCCGUAAACGUUGGGAACUAGAUGUGGGGACCAUUCCACGGUCUCCGUGUCGCAGCUAACGCAUUAAGUUCCCCGCCUGGGGAGUACGGCCGCAAGGCUAAAACUCAAAGGAAUUGACGGGGGCCCGCACAAGCGGCGGAGCAUGCGGAUUAAUUCGAUGCAACGCGAAGAACCUUACCAAGACUUGACAUAUACG